CAGUCGCCACGGUAAUACGGAGGAUCCAAGCGUUAUCCGGAAUCAUUGGGUUUAAAGGGUCCGUAGGCGGUCUUGUAAGUCAGUGGUGAAAGCCCAUCGCUCAACGGUGGAACGGCCAUUGAUACUGCAGGACUUGAAUUAUUGGGAAGUAACUAGAAUAUGUAGUGUAGCGGUGAAAUGCUUAGAGAUUACAUGGAAUACCAAUUGCGAAGGCAGGUUACUACCAAUUGAUUGACGCUGAUGGACGAAAGAGUGGGUAGCGAACAGGAUUAGAUACCCCGGUAGUCCCUGUCUCUUAUAU
rnacentral:rRNA from 1 species